AGCGAACGCUGGCGGCAGGCCUAACACAUGCAAGUCGAACGGAUCCUUCGGGAUUAGUGGCGGACGGGUGAGUAACACGUGGGAACGUGCCCUUUGGUUCGGAACAACUCAGGGAAACUUGAGCUAAUACCGGAUGUGCCCUUCGGGGGAAAGAUUUAUCGCCAUUGGAGCGGCCCGCGUCUGAUUAGCUAGGUGGUGAGGUAAAGGAUCACCAAGGCGACGAUCAGUAGCUGGUCUGUGAGGAUGAUCAGCCACAUUGGGACUGAGACACGGCCCAAACUCUUACGGGAGGCAGCAGUGGGGAACCUGCGCAAUGGGCGAAAGCCUGACGCAGCCAUGCCGCGUGAAUGAUGAAGGUCUUAGGAUUGUAAAAUUCUUUCACCGGGGACGAUAAUGACGGUACCCGGAGAAGAAGCCCCGGCUAACUUCGUGCCAGCAGCCGCCGUAACAC
rnacentral:rRNA from 1 species